rnacentral:miRNA from 1 species
UCUCCAGCUGUUUUCAGACUACAAUUCCCAUCAUCCCUGACCUGGUCUUGCUACCUAGGGAUGAUGGGAGUUGUAGUCCAAAAACAGCUGGAGA